ACUAGCUGUUUGCGAUACACUGUAAGCGGCACAGCGAAAGCGUUAAGUGAUCCACCUGGGGAGUACGCCGGCAACGGUGAAACUCAAAGGAAUUGACGGGGGCCCGCACAAGCGGAGGAACAUGUGGUUUAAUUCGAUGAUACGCGAGGAACCUUACCCGGGUUUGAACGCAUUCGGACCGAGGUGGAAACACCUUUUCUAGCAAUAGCCGUUUGCGAGGUGCUGCAUGGUUGUCGUCAGCUCGUGCCGUGAGGUGUCGGCUUAAGUGCCAUAACGAGCGCAACCCUUGCCACUAGUUACUAACAGGUAAAGCUGAGGACUCUGGUGGGACUGCCAGCGUAAGCUGCGAGGAAGGCGGGGAUGACGUCAAAUCAGCACGGCCCUUACAUCCGGGGCGACACACGUGUUACAAUGGCGUGGACAAAGGGAAGCCACCUGGUGACAGGGAGCGAAUCCCCAAACCACGUCUCAGUUCGGAUCGGAGUCUGCAACCCGACUCCGUGAAGCUGGAUUCGCUAGUAAUCGCGCAUCAGCCAUGGCGCGGUGAAUACGUUCCCGGGCCUUGUACACACCGCCCGUCAAGCCAUGGGAGCCGGGGGUACCUGAAGUCCGUAACCGCGAGGAUCGGCCUAGGGUAAAACUGGUGACUGGGGCUAAGUCGUAACAAGUUAGCCGUACCGGAAGGUGCGGCUG
rnacentral:rRNA from 1 species